GUGCCAGCCGCCGCGGUAAUACGGAGGAUCCGAGCGUUAUCCGGAUUUAUUGGGUUUAAAGGGUGCGUAGGUGGGUUGAUAAGUCAGCGGUGAAAGUUUGCGGCUUAACUGUAAAAAUGCCGUUGAAACUGUCGGACUUGAGUGUAAAUGAGGUAGGCGGAAUGCGUGGUGUAGCGGUGAAAUGCAUAGAUAUCACGCAGAACUCCGAUUGCGAAGGCAGCUUACUAAGCUACAACUGACACUGAAGCACGAAAGCGUGGGGAUCAAACAGGAUUAGAUACCCUGGUAGUCCACGCAGUAAACGAUGAUUACUAGCUGUUUGCGAUACACAGUAAGCGGCACAGCGAAAGCGUUAAGUAAUCCACCUGGGGAGUACGCCGGCAACGGUGAAACUCAAAGGAAUUGACGGGGGCCCGCACAAGCGGAGGAACAUGUGGUUUAAUUCGAUGAUACGCGAGGAACCUUACCCGGGUUUGAACGUAGGGAGACAGGGGUGGAAACAUCCUUUUCAGCAAUGACUGCCUACGAGGUGCUGCAUGGUUGUCGUCAGCUCGUGCCGUGAGGUGUCGGCUUAAGUGCCAUAACGAGCGCAACCCUUAUUUCCAGUUACUAACAGGUCAAGCUGAGGACUCUGGAGAGACUGCCAGCGUAAGCUGUGAGGAAGGUGGGGAUGACGUCAAAUCAGCACGGCCCUUACAUCCGGGGCGACACACGUGUUACAAUGGUAAGGACAAAGGGCAGCUACCGGGCGACCGGAUGCGAAUCUCUAAACCUUAUCUCAGUUCGGAUCGGAGUCUGCAACUCGACUCCGUGAAGCUGGAUUCGCUAGUAAUCGCGCAUCAGCCAUGGCGCGGUGAAUACGUUCCCGGGCCUUGUACACACCGCCCGUCAAGCCAUGGGAGCCGGGGGUACCUGAAGUUCGUAACCGCAAGGAUCGACCUAGGGUAAAACUGGUGACUGGGGCUAAGUCGUAACAAGGUAACC
rnacentral:rRNA from 1 species